CCCAUUAGAAUGUUUGGAGGAAGAUGCUAUAGAAAUAUUUGGUUUAAUUAUGCAUAUGUUGCCCAGCUAUGCAACCCAAGAUGGGGGGUGAAUUGGGUUUCUAAAAAUUUUAAGCUUAACUAAUGACUUAUGAGAAAUGUUUGACAAAGCUAUAUAGAUAGGGUGAGUAGAAUUAAUUCAAGGCUAAUAGCAAGAGCAAGAAUGCAAGAGAAUAAUGAAG
rnacentral:lncRNA from 1 species